rnacentral:lncRNA from 1 species
UUAAAUAGGGUUUAACCCUAAUUAAUGAAGUGGGGGGGGGGGUGCUAGAUUUGUAUAAUUGACAAGAACACAAACACACAGUGAGUGUGUGAGAAUCAAGAUUCAAGUAAUGAACUAAACCCAGAUGAGGGAAUCAAUUAUCAACAAAAAGGAAGAAUCUUUAUGUGAGUGUGUGAGAAUCAAGAUUCAAGUACUGAACUAAACCCAGAUGGGGGAAUCAAUUAUCAACAAAAAGGAAGAAUCUUUAUGGUAUAAUAAAGAAAACCCAGAUGAUUAAAUAGGGUUUAACCCUAAUUAAUGAAGUGG